GCUUUCUCAAUGAAAUUUUUACAGUGUAAUGUACUACUUUUGGGACAUAUUAAAUCAAAAUUAUAGAAAACUUCAUUGGCUCUAACUCAAAAUAAGGACAAUUUUAUAUUUAGGGCAUCUUGAAAUCUUUUGACAGCUUCCGAAGUGCUAAUUUUUAACCUUUUUCAGCUGGACCAAAUCACUACUUUCCUUUAAAAUUCUGGACCCAAAUUUUUUUACAGUGUAAUUUCACCCCCCUACUUGCAAUUUGAGGCAUAAAACAUGGAGAAAUAAAUCUGGAAGGGGUAUAAAAAAUAUUGGCAAGUAACGCACU
rnacentral:lncRNA from 1 species